rnacentral:rRNA from 1 species
GACGAACGCUGGCGGCGUGCUUAACACAUGCAAGUCGAACGGAAAGGCCAUGCUUUUGUGGGUUGCUCGAGUGGCGAACGGGUGAGUAACACGUGAGUAACCUGCCCUUGACUUUGGGAUAACUUCAGGAAAAUGGGGCUAAUACCGGAUAUGAGCUCCUGCUGCAUGGUGGUGAUUGGAGAGAUUCGGCGGUUGGGGAUGGACUGGAGGCUUAUCAGCUGGUUGGUGGGGUAGGGGCGUACCAAGGCUUUGAAGGGUAGCCGACAUGGGAGGUGGACCGGCGUCCAUGGUCCUACGAUAGGGACCAGUCGGCUAUCGGCGGCAAUAGUGGAGAAUAUUGCACAGUGGGCGCAAGUCAGAGACGACAACGUUGCGUGCGUGAUGACCGCCUACGGGUUGUAAACAGCUGUCUACUGUGACAAAGAGGUAUUGACGGUAACUAGUCAAGAAGCACCGGCUAACUACGUG